rnacentral:rRNA from 1 species
AUUGAACGCUGGCUGCAGGCCUAACACAUGCACGUCGAACGAGUGGCGGACGGGUGAGUCAUUUCUGGGAAACUGCCCGAUGGAGGGGGAUAACUACUGGAAACGGUAGCUAAUACCGCAUACCUUCGUCUGUGCCCAGAUGGGAUUGGCUAGUAGGGGGGGGAAUGGCUCACCUAGGCGACGAUCCCUAGCUGGUCUGAGAGGAUGACGAGCAACACGGGAACUGAGAAACGGUCCAGAGUACUACGGGAGGAAGAAGUGGGGAAUAUUGCAAAAUGGGGGAAAGCCUGAUGCAGACAGGCCGCGUGGAUGAAGAAGGCCUUCGGGUGGUAAAGUACUUUAAGCGAGGAGGCGGUACUCGCAGAAGAAGCACCGGCUAACUCCGUGCCAGCAGCCGCGGUAAUAC